GAUGAACGCUGGCGGCGUGCCUAAUACAUGCAAGUCGAGCGAACGGACGAGAAGCUUGCUUCUCUGAUGUUAGCGGCGGACGGGUAAGUAACACGUGGAUAACCUACCUAUAAGACUGGGAUAACUUCGGGAAACCGGCGCUAAUACCGGAUAAUAUUUUGAACCGCAUGGUUCAAAAGUGAAAGACGGUCUUGCUGUCACUUAUAGAUGGAUCCGCGCUGCAUUAGCUAGUUGGUAAGGUAACGGCUUACCAAGGCAACGAUGCAUAGCCGACCUGAGAGGGUGAUCGGCCACACUGGAACUGAGACACGGUCCAGGCUCCUACGGGAGGCAGCAGUAGGGAAUCUUCCGCAAUAGGCGAAAGCCUGACGGAGCAACGCCGCGUGAGUGAUGAAGGUCUUCGGAUCGUAAAACUCUGUUAUUAGGGAAGAACAGAUGUGUAAGUAACUGUGCACAUCUUGACGGUACCUAAUCAGAAAGCCACGGCUAACUACGUG
rnacentral:rRNA from 1 species